rnacentral:lncRNA from 1 species
AAAAUCCUAAUGCGAUUUCAUGAACCCUAGUGAUGUGAAAUCGAAUUGGGGUUGUUCACAAUUGUAGCUAAUUGAAGUUGUGAAAUCAAAUUGGGGCAAAAGUACUAGUAAUCUGAUUUCCCAAAGCUGUUGCUGCGAUUUUCAGAACAACCAUAUUUCGCAAUUGAAGGCAGAUCGGCAACAAAUUGUGCAAAUUUGAUAUCGUUUGACCAAAAUUUGUAUUCUACAUCAACCUAAUCAGCAUUUAUUCGGUAAGUUCUUUACUCAAUAUGUUUUUAGAAUUACCAUACCCAUUAGAUUAGUUUUAUCAUAUAUGGGUAUUACUAUUCUGAUUGGUAUAUGACAAAAUUAAUCCAUUGUCUUAUAUAUAUACCUUGUUUUUACUUUGGCUUUUAGUUUUCUUGGUGUGUUAAGUAUUGUUGAAGUACCGGCAUGUUUGUUUCAUUUGUGUUUGAUUCUUAAUUAUAGUAGCAACAUUACAUUUUUAGGAACUAUUUAUUGUUGAAUGUAGCUCAAGUUUAAGGUAAAAGAUUGGCUUAGUACUGCUUGUUGUUUCUGCUUAUUAGUAUGUUCCUGAUAUUGGAAUGUAAUAUUUUUUCUUCAUGUUAUUGUAGAGACAAUUAAGUAUAUGUAUGUAACAAUUUUUGCAUUCAGAUUAUUUAAACCAGACUUUGUUUUAUCUGGUUUACAAAAUCUAAUUUUUGCUGAACUCAGUAUCACUUUUGACAGACUGUUAAUCUUUGAAGUUGCUCCCCUUUUUUCCCUCAAGUUGUUGUUAAAUUAAAAUAUAUGUCAAAUUGUGAUAAAAAUUAAAUUAAAUGAAAAACAAAAUUCUAGAACAGUCUUGUGCUUCGCUCAAUGUACUAAGUAGAUGGUGUUUGGAACAGGUGUCUUUGUUCUGUUUUGUCGAUUCUUGUUCUCUAUAUUGCUCUGUGUAGCACGUCUGUUCUCCCUGUAAAUUUCAGUUAAAUAAUUGUUUACGUAUGAAUUUGUUUCCAAUUUGUUAGUGAUUUUGCGUUUUUUCCCCCUUUAACAUAUCUUUUUUUGACAAGUGUUAUCGAUUAUAAAUAUUUGGUGAACACUUUAUGGAUCAAGUACUUUAUUUAAUAUAAGUACUGUUCUGACUGUUCAGUACUUUGUUAAGGUUGUGAACAGAAGGGUGAUAAAUAGAAGUUGUACUGAUAAGUAAUGUCAGGAUAACUUUAUUGAGAAUUGGACAUGCAAUUGAAACUUUAACUUCUUAUGUCUCUAAUUAUGAAUUGCACAAUGAAUUUGUUAAUUGAGGACCAUAUAGUGUCCUAUAAUUGUUGCUCAACUUUAGUUGCUUGCUAAUAGAUCAUCAAAUUUUAAUUGUAGAAUUUUGGAUGAAUUUGUCCAUUAACAUUUUUACUUGUAGUUCAUGUAAUUAUUUUUAUGUCUAAUGCUAGUGUAUUGAGUUCUAUUAAAAACUUUUUAUUACUUUUUGUUUGAAUAGUUUCAAAUUUUAUUCUCAUAUGCUCAAAAUGUUAGUAAUUAUGUUCAUCUGUUGUCAUUGUUAUUAUCCACACUGUUGGUUUUCACACUAAUUUUUUUUGAUGGUUAUGGAUAUCAUGGAUCGUCAUUUGAGCAAUCUUAUAGAUGCUACCCUGCAUCCUUUAUAAAAUGCAGUGUGAAUAUCUAAUUUUUCUUUUGAAUUUGUUCCAGUUAUAAGCAACGCAUUGAAGAACUCCAAAUCUUUCUUACCAUCGUCUUCUGAGAAUUCAUCCGAUGAUUCUUUGCUGUCGGAAUCUUUGGAAUCGUCAAUAACCCUUUCUUCUUGAGCUCGUCUAAUCGCUGAAAAUCCUUGCGUUUCUUGUUGUGCUCGUAAUGGCGAGCAAAUUCUUUGUUGAUUUUGAUCUUGAAUAUGUCGUUUGAUUCGUCCGAGGAGCCUUCGAUAUUGCCAAACAGCUUCAACAGUUAAUGGGAGCUUGAUUGUAGUUGCUACCCUUACGAAAAUCAUUAAACCUUGGCUCUCUUCAUCACCAUCCUCAGAAACCAACAGAAGUCAUCAUGUUCUUCGAGUCAUCAUUUUUUACCCUUUUACGGAAACAACUCCCUCCUCCUUGUAAAUACACCCAGAAACACAACUAUGUCGAUGUAUAUAUGAAAUGGAAGAAAGACUCAUAUUUUGAUUCAAUAGAGUCCAUCCACAAAUCAAUUGAGCUCAAACCCAUAAUCUCUCUCAAAAACUGUAUUGCAGCCUCACCGGACGGCUGUAUUCCAAUUUCAGCUGUUUCGAAAAGGGGACUUCAAUUGGGGGUUAACAUUAAAGUUGCUAGGUUCCUUAGAUUAUACCCAUCUGUUUUUGAGGAGUUUACUGGUCCAAAUUAUAAUCUGCCAUGGUUUAAGCUGACCCAGAAAGCGAUUGAGCUUGAUAGAGAAGAGCGCGAGGUUUAUAGGGAUUUUAGGGAUGAUAUUCAGGGGAGGUUAAAGAGGUUUAUACUUAUGAGUAGUGAGAAUAGGUUGCCAUUGAAGAUAAUUCAGGGAAUGCAGUGGUAUUUGGGUUUACCAGAUGACUAUUUGCAAGACCCGGAAGGGAAUCUUGAUGGGUGUUUUAGGAUUGUGCAUAUGGAAGAUGGGUUAAAGGGUUUAGCUGUUGAGGGUGGGGAAAGGGUUUUGUCUGUAAUUCAGAGAAAUGUGGUGAAGAGGGGUGGGUAUAAUGGGGAACCAAUGGAGGUGAUUGGGUUUCCGCUUUUCCCUUCCAAGGGUUUGAGGUUGAAGAGGAAGAUUGCUAAUUGGUUUGAUGAGUUUCAAAAGGUUCCAUAUAUUUCGCCAUAUGAGGACUAUUCGGGGUUGGAAACCGAUAGUGAUGUGUCAGAGAAACGGAUUGUGGGCGUUCUUCAUGAGUUGCUUAGUUUAUUUGUUGAGCAUGCUGCUGAAAGGAAGAAGCUUUUAUGUCUAAGAAAGUAUCUUGGAUUCCCACAGAAGGUUCAUAAGGCAUUUGAGAGGCAUCCAUAUAUAUUUUAUUUAUCGUUGAGGAAUAAGACAUGCACAGCAAUACUUAAAGAAGCUUACUGUGAUAAUUUGACUAUAAAGGCCCAUCCUCUCGCAAACGUGAGGAACAAAUAUAUUGGCUUGGUGAAAGAAUCUCCAAUUAUUUUGAAACAUAGGAGGCUGAAAAAUGGUUCUACUCAUGAUGAACAUGAGAGUUUAAAGCUGGAAUUGGAUAGUGUAGAUGAUUACAGGACUGAAAUUGCAGAGGAUGCUUUGUAGAGGAUUGUUUUAAUGAGACAUUUACAGGCAUAUCAGGUCGAGAAAAGAUGUGGGUGCAUGAACUUCUCAGAGUGGCACUUUUUGUGAAGAAUUUAAUUCUUUUGGUUGAUGAUUCUUAGUCUGAGCAAAAGAAAACCAGAUGGAUGGUAACUAAUGUUAGCAUUCAUGGAUCUUAUGCUAUGGGAUGCACCUGUGCAGCUGUGCUCUAGAAUUCUUCCUCGAAUAAAUGUUAUAGAUCUUUCUGGAUACAUCACUCCUGGAAACUGCAAGUGAACACUGUUAUCACUACGCCAUUUUACAACACAGGUGACUAUCUAAAGUAAUGUCCAAUUGUAUUUGAUAGAUAAUUGUAAUACCAUGAUUACGUCUGGCUAAUAUGUAUUUUGGAAUCUAUUUAUUGCAUUUAUUUUGGAGUUAUGAUGCAUACACUUACAACACAUCUUGUGCAAGUUUGCCACUAUAAACUAAGGCCAAUGCAUCUUUUUACAGAAUCUAUUGCUAUGUAUCUAGUGUCUUUUAGGCUGGAGUUUGUUCAUAAUGUUGGAUCUGUAGACUAAUACUAUUUGAAUUUAGUUUUAAGUUGAGAUCUUGUUGUUCAGUUUUAGUGGAGGGGGUGAUAGAGUCCGUUAAUGAGUAAGACCAAAGGAGAUGGGGGAAUUUUAAAAGCAGAGUCUACUUGAAAGUUAUACGUAUACUCGAGUCUGAUUGUCUUAUUUCAAGAUGUUUGUUGAAAAUGCUUAUAUCAUUGACUUUUUCAUCAACCCAUAAAUGAUGUAGUUUGUUUUUUCAAACAAAGGCUAUACUAGCUUGAAGAAAAACUUGUGUGCAGAUUGUAUGUAAAUUGGAUAUGUAGUGCAAAUAUUCAUGGAGUAGCCUUGAUUUACGGAAAGAUGUCUCCUCCAUUUUUACUAUAAACAGGUUGCUCGGUUAAGCAAGAAGGAUGCACCAAAGCUUUGUAGCAAUUGAGAGAGUGAGAGUAUACAGAGAAAUUAAUCAGUUGGUUUAUUUCUCAACUUUUGUAUUCUCCAUAUUAUUUUUCAUUAAUCGAUUUAUGAGAUCUCUUUUCGUGAUUUUUCCCAGUUGGAUUUUUCACGUAAAAUUCUUAUGUCAUUACUUUAUACUUGAUACAGUAGUGCGUGUGUUUUUAUCUUAGUGUGUUUGUGUGAGCUUGAUUUCUCAACUAUGUUCUUACAUUAAUGUUCAUCUGUAUUUUUAUGUUCAAAAUUUUUAAUUAGUUUUUUGAUUAUAUAAAAAAUAUCAUAUAAAUGUGUUUUAUACAUGCCUUAAAGUUUGUCCAAAUUCCCUAAAAUAGAUUGACGGCUAUAUCAAGGCAGAGGUAUUAGUUUUAUUUGUAUAUACAUAUAUGUAAAAUGUACAUCUCAUUUCGUCCUUUUAAUUUGUAGUAGCUUGCUGAGUUGGUAUCAAACCUUUUUUAUCUUUCAUUCAUUUAGUGAAGCCAGAAUUUUUGAAUUUAUUUGGGAAUGUGGUUCUUAGAGAAAUUUGUAUAUUGGAUUUUUGGGAAUUCUUUCACAUUAUUGUUAAUUAAUACUUGAAACUUCAUUCCAAGGUAGACUAGUUAAUGAGUUUGAUUAUAACGUUACUAUAGUAGAAAGAUAUGAAGGUUUGAUUCCUAAGUGAUCGUUCGUUCAUUUAGAGGGUUGCUUAAUUUGGAACUUUGUUCAACAACUUAAUGGCACUCUUUCGGGCUGUUGUCAUCUGUUAUGAUGGAACAUUGAGGAAUUUCCGCAGUAAUUCAAUUAACUUUAUAAUUAUUCGAGUAUAGGACACAAACAUAAACUACGACCCAUAUUUUUUUUGCUGUCGAGGGACCAGUUGGAGUACUAUUAGCUGCAACUGCUAUGUCGAACCCUGCAUACAAGGAAGUCCUUGACACUUCUCCUAAUAGUCAUUACUCCUGGGCGAGAAAUAUAUAUAUUGUUUCUUGAAAAUGGAAAAUCUUUAUCAGAGAUGCAAUUGCUUGCAGUUGAAGUUUAAUAAAAAUCUUGACCAAACCAAUGGGGUUCUUCUCGGGGUAGCUUUCAUAGUGGCAUUUUGGUAUUGGGCCUCCAAUCAUACAAACCAAUAUGAAAUCUUGUGCCCAGAACCUACCUACAAGGUUACAACACAAUAAAUGUACUACUGAAUCUUGUCUAACUUUCGGCAUAUAUUUCCAGGCAACCCUAAGCUGGGGUUUGAUUUAAUUUAAUAAAUUUGUUUUAUUUUAUUUUAUUUAUUUAUUUGUUUUAUUUAUUAAUUUAGUUUAUUUUUAAUUUUUUAUUAAAAUUAAUUUAAUUUAAUAAAUUUAUUUUAUUUUAUUAAUUUUAUUUUAUUUUAUUUAUUUUGUAUUAUAUUUUAUUUUAGUAAAUUUAAUUUAAUCUAUAUAUUAAAUUAUAUUUAUUUCAUUUAUUAAAUUAUUUUUUUUUUAUUUAAUUCUAAAUUAUAUAUUAUUAUAUUAAAUAUAAAAUUUUAAUUUAUUUUAUUUUUUUAAUUAAGUUGAUUAAAUUAAUUGAUAUUUGAAGUAUAAAUUAUUUGAUUUGAUUUGAUUUUAUUAGUCGGAAACUAAUUAAGUAAAUGCUACUUAAUUAGUGAAUUUUAGUAUUAUAAAAUUACGUAAUAUAUAUAAAUAGUUAGUAGAACCCACAAAUUUUGCAUCUCAAGAAUUCUGACAGAAUGUUCGUGGGAAUUUCCGUCAGAAAUAUCAAGCAUCACAUUAUUUUUACUGUUAUGAACAUACAAUACUGUAAUUGAAGAAAUAUAAUGCAAUUACAUAAAGAAAAACAAAAACAAACAAUAAAAUGGAUGAUAUACACUUACAGAAGCUACAAUAUUGCACAAAAUUAGACCCAAAUGACCAAUUACAGAAGCUGCAAUAUUGCGAUAAAAUUUCAGACCUUUCACUAAUUUGAGACCUUUCAGACCCAAAUGACCAAUUUCAGAUAAAUUAUAAACUAAAAUCUCCCAAUAUUAGAGCAAUUUUAUAGAAAAAUUAAACCCUCAGACCCAAAUUGACCAAUUACAUAACCAAAUUGACCGAUUUCAGACUGAAAAUUGAAGNNNNNNNNNNNNNNNNNNNNNNNNNNNNNNNNNNNNNNNNNNNNNNNNNNNNNNNNNNNNNNNNNNNNNNNNNNNNNNNNNNNNNNNNNNNNNNNNNNNNUCGAAGAUAUAUAUAUAUAUAUAUAUAUAUAUGAAAUGAGAUCGACGCUGGAGAAGAUGAACUGUAUACGUUUUAAGAUUUAUUUCCGACAGAAUUUCUGUUGGAAUUAAUUCCCUCAGAAAUAACUUAAUACCGACGGCUAUUCCCUCGAAAAUAACUCUAGUUCCGUCGAAGAUUAUAUUUCGCGCUGGCGGGAAUAUUGGCGCCACUGAUGGAGUUCUACUUCCGAUGGAAUUCGGUUGGAAAUAUACUAUUGUCGAUUGUCGAGGGAAGUAAGGUCGAAAGAUUAUUGUCUCGGAAAUAACGUAAACUCGACGGAAUCAAGUUCGUCGGAAAUACUUCCGUCGGAAAUAUCCUUUUUCCUUGUAGUGAAGUUGUGCAAAUUUGAUAUCGUUUGACCAAAAUUUGUAUCUUACAUCAACCUAAUCAGCAUUUAUUCGAU